UACGGGGGGGGCAAGCGUUGUUCGGAAUUACUGGGCGUAAAGAGCUCGUAGGCGGCUUGUUGCGUCAGCUGUGAAAACCCGCGGCUUAACCGUGGGCCUGCAGCUGAUACGGGCAAGCUAGAGUUCGGUAGGGGAGACUGGAAUUCCUGGUGUAGCGGUGAAAUGCGCAGAUAUCAGGAGGAACACCGGUGGCGAAGGCGGGUCUCUGGGCCGAUACUGACGCUGAGGAGCGAAAGCGUGGGGAGCGAACAGG
rnacentral:rRNA from 1 species